CGGGGUGUGGCGCAGCCCGGUAGCGCACCUGCUUUGGGAGCAGGGGGUCGUAGGUUCAAAUCCUAUCACCCCGA
rnacentral:tRNA from 1 species